rnacentral:lncRNA from 1 species
AUCAACAUACAUAACCAUAGUAGUGAAUCCAUACAUAGUCAUGGUAAAAUGUCAAGUAUAAUUAAAAACAUAGUAUCAAAUACAUAUAUUCAUCUAAAUCAAAUGCCAUCCAAAUCAUCCUCUAAUUCUUCAUCAUCUAUGUUAUGCUGAUUUGUAGGUGAUUGUUCAACAGAGCGUGAAGCCAUGCUUUGAGGAAAGCUCUCCAAGAAUCUGUCCAAGUUUGCAAAUUUUUCAUCAUAUGUCUCCAUUUUUCCCUUUAGCUUCUU